rnacentral:rRNA from 1 species
GACGAACGCUGGCGGCGUGCUUAACACAUGCAAGUCGAACGGAAAGGCCCUGCUUUUGUGGGGUGCUCGAGUGGCGAACGGGUGAGUAACACGUGAGUAACCUGCCCUUGACUUUGGGAUAACUUCAGGAAACUGAGGCUAAUACCGGAUAGGAGCUCCUGCUGCAUGGUGGGGGUUGGAAAGUUUCGGCGGUUGGGGAUGGACUCGCGGCUUAUCAGCUUGUUGGUGGGGUAGUGGCUUACCAAGGCUUUGACGGGUAGCCGGCCUGAGAGGGUGACCGGCCACAUUGGGACUGAGAUACGGCCCAGACUCCUACGGGAGGCAGCAGUGGGGAAUAUUGCACAAUGGGCGGAAGCCUGAUGCAGCAACGCCGCGUGCGGGAUGACGGCCUUCGGGUUGUAAACCACUUUCGCCUGUGACGAAGCGUGAGUGACGGUAAUGGGUAAAGAAGCACCGGCUAACUACGUG